rnacentral:rRNA from 1 species
ACGGUCCUAAGGUAGCGAAAUUCCUUGUCGGGUAAGUUCCGACCCGCACGAAAGGCGUAAUGAUUUGAGCGCUGUCUCGACAAUGCAUCCGGUGAAAUUGAAGUACCAGUGAAGAUGCUGGUUACCUGCGCCAGGACGGAAAGACCCCAUGGAGCUUUACUCCAGUCUGGUACUGGGACUCGGUAUUGCAUGUACAGGAUAGGUGGGAGGCUAGGAGAUGGUAACGCCAGUUGCCAUGGAGCCGCUGUUGGGAUACCACCCUUGCAGUAUUGGGUUUCUAACCAGCCGCCGUGACCCGGCGGUGGGACAAUGCCAGACGGGGAGUUUGACUGGGGCGGUCGCCUCCGAAAGGGUAUCGGAGGCGCCCAAAGGUUCCCUCAGAAUGGACGGAAACCAUUCGAAGAGUGCAAAGGCAGAAGGGAGCUUGACUGCGACACCGACGGGUGGAGCAGGUACGAAAGUAGGGCUUAGUGAUCCGGUGGUAUUAAGUGGGAAUGCCAUCGCUCAACGGAUAAAAGCUACCCUGGGGAUAACAGGCUUAUCACUCCCAAGAGUUCACAUCGACGGAGUGGUUUGGCACCUCGAUGUCGGCUCAUCGCAUCCUGGGGCUGUAGUAGGUCCCAAGGGUUGGGCUGUUCGCCCAUUAAAGCGGUACGCGAGCUGGGUUCAGAACGUCGUGAGACAGUUCGGUCCCUAUCCGGCGUGGGCGUAGGAUAUCUGAGAGGAGCUGUCCUUAGUACGAGAGGACCGGGAUGGACGGGCCGCUGGUGCAUCGGUUAGACUGCCAAGUCUACGGCCGAGUAGCCAAGCCCGGAAGGGAUAAACGCUGAAGGCAUCUAAGCGUGAAGCCCCCCUUAAGAUGAGAUAUCCCAUUCGAAAGAAGUAAACCCCCUUGAAGACGACGAGGUAGAUAGGGCAGAGGUGGAAGUGCAGCAAUGCAUGGAGCUGACUGUUACUAAUCGGGUGAGGGCUUGACCAA